rnacentral:rRNA from 1 species
UACGAAGGGGGCUAGCGUUGCUCGGAAUUACUGGGCGUAAAGCGCACGUAGGCGGCUUUCUAAGUCGGGGGUGAAAUCCUGGAGCUCAACUCCAGAACUGCCUUCGAUACUGGAAAGCUCGAGUCCGGGAGAGGUGAGUGGAACUGCGAGUGUAGAGGUGAAAUUCGUAGAUAUUCGGAAGAACACCGGUUGCGAAGGCGGCUCACUGGCUAAGUUCUGACGCUGAGGUGCGAAAGCGUGGGGAGCAAACAGG